AACGAACGCUGGCGGCAUGCCUAACACAUGCAAGUCGAACGAGACCUUCGGGUCUAGUGGCGCACGGGUGCGUAACGCGUGGGAACCUGCCUUUAGGUUCGGAAUAACUCAGAGAAAUUUGAGCUAAUACCGGAUGAUGUCUUCGGACCAAAGAUUUAUCGCCUUUAGAUGGGCCCGCGUUGGAUUAGCUAGUUGGUGGGGUAAAGGCCUACCAAGGCGACGAUCCAUAGCUGGUCUGAGAGGAUGAUCAGCCACACUGGGACUGAGACACGGCCCAGACUCCCACGGGAGGCAGCAGUGGGGAAUAUUGGACAAUGGGCGAAAGCCUGAUCCAGCAAUGCCGCGUGAGUGAUGAAGGCCUUAGGGUUGUAAAGCUCUUUUACCCGAGAUGAUAAUGACAGUAUCGGGAGAAUAAGCUCCGGCUAACUCCGUG
rnacentral:rRNA from 1 species